UGAAUAAAACCGAGAGCCUUUGGAAGCAGAGAGAAGGGACCUUGCGGCUCUCGAUGCGGAUUUGCAGACAUUUGAGGCCAUCUCAACUCAGAGAGAGAGAGAAAGAGAGAGAUGAUAUGGUAUGAGUGAAGGAUGAAGGAUCAACUUUGUUGUGUGUGCCCUGUUAAAGAGUGAGAGUGAAUGUGAGUGAAGACGCCACUGCGUCGGUCUCUCGUUAAAUAUUGG
rnacentral:lncRNA from 1 species